AGUACAUAUAUGUAUAUAUCACACUGUCGACGUAAUCUACGACAUUUAAACGCUAGUAUGACAGAGAAAGAAUAAAAGAGUAAGAAGAAAGCUCUCCUCACAACAUAGUGUAUGACGUAUUGGGCAAAAUGUCGUGAUCCGAACGGAAAUACUCGAAGCUGGAGCACGAAUCAACCCGAGAAUACCCGAGUAUCAGUAAAAGAAACAGCAGCAGCAACAAGAAGCAAUGAACAACAUCAACAACGCAGACUGGUACACCAGAAGCACCAGUUGAACAACCAUACAACUACAACAACAACAUCAACCAGACAGAACGUGGUGGAACGUGAUGGUAGGAGAUUAUAAGGGGGAAUUAUCGUCGACUGAAGUGAAGACUUCCUCGUAGCUUCUUCAUACUAUCACUGAUUGAAUGUGAUUGGGACAUGGAUAUUUAUUUUUAUUUUUUAUUUAAAUAACUACCUCGUCUCAUCAGACACAUCACUUUCAAAAUUGCUUGGGUCACUUAAUGACAAUUACUUUGUUGAAUGAUGAACAUGAUUUAAAUAUAUAUUUAAACUAUUAUCGUUUAAUAAUCGAGAUUUAUUAUGGAUAUUUUAAUAUUCAUUUAAAAUAAUUUUACA